rnacentral:rRNA from 1 species
AACGAACGCUGGCGGCAGGCUUAACACAUGCAAGUCGAACGCCCGUAGCAAUACGGGAGUGGCGGACGGGUGAGUAACGCGUGGGAACGUGCCCUGAGGUACGGAAUAACUGCGGGAAACUGCAGCUAAUACCGUAUGAGCCCCGCAAGGGGGAAAGAUUUAUCGCCUUAGGAGCGGCCCGCGUCGGAUUAGCUAGUUGGUGGGGUAACGGCUUACCAAGGCUUCGAUCCGUAGCUGGUCUGAGAGGACGAUCAGCCACACUGGGACUGAGACACGGCCCAGACUCCAACGGGAGGCAGCAGUGGGGAAUCUUGCGCAAUGGGGGCAACCCUGACGCAGCCAUGCCGCGUGAAUGAUGAAGGCCUUAGGGUUGUAAAGUUCUUUUGCCCGUGACGAUGAUGACGGUAACGGGAGAAUAAGCUCCGGCUAACUUCGUGCCAGCAGCCGCCGUAACAC